AUGGCAGCUGACGCUACUACCAACCCGUCACAGCUGCUACCUUAGAGUUUGUGGAUAAAUGUAUAGGAUCAAGAAUUCACAUUGUGAUGAAGAGUGAUAAAGAAAUUGUUGGUACUCUUCUAGGAUUUGAUGACUUUGUCAAUAUGGUACUGCAAGAUGUCACUGAGUUUGAAAUCACACCAGAAGGAAGGAUUACUAAAUUAGAUCAGAUUUUGCUAAAUGGAAAUAAUAUAACAAUGCUGGUUCCUGGAGGAGAAGGACCUGAAGUGUGAAUGAGUUCCUUGACUUACGCUAGAUUCUGUUUUGUCUUUUAACGACAAGAAAAUGGAAUUUUUUUCCCCACCUUCUAAUGUUUAAAUCCCAGAAAGCUAAGUUUCCCGUUAAAGGGAAGUGCUUUGAAGAUGUGUACUCAUUUUUGUAAGUUAAUUAUGAUUAUCCUAGAAAAAGAAGAAAAGAACUUCUUCUUUGAAGACGAAAAUAAAGGUGUUUUUGGUUAA